UACAGAGGGUGCAAGCGUUGUUCGGAAUCAUUGGGCGUAAAGGGCGUGUAGGCGGUUUGUUAAGUCAUGUGUGAAAUCCCUCGGCUCAACCGGGGAACGACGCAGGAAACUGACAAGCUAGAGUACCAAAGAGGGGGGUGGAAUUCCCGGUGUAGCGGUGAAAUGCGUAGAGAUCGGGAGGAACACCAGUGGCGAAGGCGACCUGCUGGGCCAGUACCGACGCUGAGGUGCGAAAGCGUGGGGAGCGAACCGG
rnacentral:rRNA from 1 species